CCCCUAGUAGUCCAGUGGUUAGGAUUUGGUGCUUUUACUGCCAUGGACCAGGGUUUGAUCCCUGGAGGGGA
rnacentral:tRNA from 1 species